rnacentral:rRNA from 1 species
UACGUAGGUGGCAAGCGUUGUCCGGAUUUGAUUGGGUUUAAAGGGUGCGUAGGCGGCUUUGUAAGUCAGUGGUGAAAUAUGGCAGCUCAACUGUCAAGGUGCCAUUGAUACUGCGGAGCUUGAGUACAGAUGAGGUAGGCGGAAUUGACGGUGUAGCGGUGAAAUGCUUAGAUAUCGUCAAGAACACCUAUAGCGAAGGCAGCUUACUAGGCUGUAACUGACGCUGAGGCACGAAAGUGUGGGGAGUCAAACAGG